rnacentral:rRNA from 1 species
AGCACCACAACAGGUGGAGCCUGCGGUUUAAUCGGACUCAACGCCGGGAAACUCACCAGAUAAGACAGCUGAAUGAUAGUCGGGCUGAAGACUCUACUUGACUAGCCGAGAGGAGGUGCAUGGCCGUCGUCAGUUCGUACUGUGAAGCAUCCUGUUAAGUCAGGCAACGAGCGAGAUCCACGCCAACAGUUGCCAGCUCGUCCUCCGGGAUGGUGGGGACACUGUUGGGACCGCCUCUGCUAAAGAGGAGGAAGGAAUGGGCAACGGUAGGUCAGUAUGCCCCGAAUAUCCCGGGCUACACGCGAGCUACAAUGGUUGGUACAAUGGGUAUCUACCCCGAAAGGGGACGGGAAUCUCCUAAACCAAUCUUAGUUCGGAUUGAGGGCUGCAACUCGCCCUCAUGAAGCUGGAAUCCGUAGUAAUCGCGUUUCAACAGAACGCGGUGAAUACGUCCCUGCUCCUU